UACGUAGGGUGCGAGCGUUGUCCGGAAUACUGGGCGUAAAGCGUGCGCAGGCGGUUUUGUAAGUCUGACGUGAAAUCCCCGGGCUCAACCUGGGAAUUGCGUUGGAGACUGCAAGGCUAGAAUCUGGCAGAGGGGGGUAGAAUUCCACGUGUAGCAGUGAAAUGCGUAGAGAUGUGGAGGAACACCGAUGGCGAAGGCAGCCCCCUGGGUCAAGAUUGACGCUCAUGCACGAA
rnacentral:rRNA from 1 species